rnacentral:rRNA from 1 species
GUCAAGCUAUGAAGGGUACAUGGUGGAUGUCUAGGCGCUGAGAGAUGAUGAAGGACGUGGAAGACUGCGAUAAGCUUCGGGGAGUUGUCAAACAAACUGUGAUCCGGAGAUUUCCGAAUGGGGAAACCUACCAUAGGUUUAUGCUGUGGUAUCGGUAUCUGAAUAUAUAGGAUAUCGAAGAUAACGGAGAGAAGUGAAACAUCUCAGUAACUCCAGGAAAAAAAAGAAAUGAUCGAUUUCCUUAGUAGCGGCGAGCGAAAGGGAAAAAGCCCAAACCGAUUGUGUGUCAAACCCUUGUGUGUUGCAUAAUCGGGGUCGUGGGAAUUACAUUAGACAGUACAAGGACUGUCUGGAAAGUUACAAACGUAGUUUUUAACCGAAUAGUGCAGGAAAGCCUAACCAUAGAAGGUGAUAGUCCUUUAGGUGAAAAAAAUUACGCUUUCUUUGUAAUUUCCCAAGUAACACCCGUCUCGUGAAAGCGGAUGUGAAUUAGGGGAGUCCACUCUCUAAGGCUAAAUACUACUCAGCGACCGAUAGCGCACAAGUAGCGCGAGCGAAAGAUGAAAAGCACCCCUGUUAGGGGAAUGAAAAAGAACCUGAAAUCGUGUACUUACAAGCGGUGGGAGCAUUAUGAUUUUAUUAUAAAAUUAUGUGUGACCGCGUGCCUUUUGCAUAAUGAACCGGCGACUUACUGUGCAUUGCGGGUUAAGUCUAUUGUUAGAUGGAGCCAAAGCGAAAGCGAGUGUGAAAUGCGCAAAUAUGUAGUGCAUAGUAGACCCGAAACCAGGUGAUCUACCCUUGGUCAGGAUGAAACGAAUGUAAAAGUUCGUGGAGGUCCGAACUCAUUUACGUUGAAAAGUGAUGGGAUGAACUGAGGGGAGGAGUAAAAGUCUAAUCAAACUUGGUGAUAGCUGGUUCUCCCCGAAAUAGCUUUAGGGCUAGCCUUGUGUAACUAUACAAUAGGGGUAGAGAUACUGAAUGAGUAUUGGGGUCCACCAGACUACCAAAUUCAAUCAAACUCCGAAUACUAUUGUCUGUACCACAAGAGUCAGACGGUGGGGGAUAAACUUCAUUGUCGAGAGGGAAACAACCCAGACCGACAGCUAAGGUCCCUAAAAUAGACUAAGUGAUAAAGGAAGUGAGAGUGCUAUGACAGUUAGGAUGUUGGCUUAGAAGCAGCAAUCAUUUAAAAAGUGCGUAAUAGCUUACUAAUCGAGCAUUCUUGCGCCGAAAAUAUUACGGGACUCAAGUCUAUUACCGAAGCUUCGGAUUUUUGCAUCUAUGCGUAGUUGCGAAAGUGGUAGGGGAGCGUUCUAUAUCAGGCUGAAGAGGGACUGAAAAGACCCUUGGACGAAAUAGAAGUGAUAAUGCCGGUAUAAGUAGCGAUAAUAUAAGUGAGAAUCUUAUUCGCCGCAAGCCUAAGGUUUCCUGGGGAAGGUAAAUCCGCCCAGGGUUAGCCGGAGCCUAAGUCGAGGCUGAAAGGCGUAGAUGAUGGACAACAGGUUAAUAAUCCUGUGCCACCGUAAUAGCGUUGAGCAUGGGGGGACAAAGAUGUAAAGGUUAGCAAAUCUAUUAGACACGGUUUGUUCAAGCCAAAGGUGUGCCUUAGGAAAAUCCGAGGCGAAAGCACCAAAGGUGAGUACGUUGGCGUAAGCCUAAAAGUAACCGGAGCAUCUUUCAAGAAAAGCCUCGUUUGCGAGCUAUUAUGGUGUCCGUACUAAAACUGACACAGGUAGGCGAGGAGAGGAUCCUAAGGCGCUCGAGAGAACCCUCGUUAAGGAACUCGGCAAAAUUACUCCGUAACUUCGGGAGAAGGAGUGCCCCGAGAUUUCGGGGCCGCAGUGAAAAGACCCGGGCGACUGUUUACUAAAAACACAAGUCUCUGCUAAGAUUUAAAAUCAACGUAUAGAGACUGACGCGUGCUCGAUGCCAGAACGUUAAGGGGAUGGGUUAAUAUUCGAAAGAAUGUGAAGCUCAGAACCGAAGCGCUGGUGAAUGGCCUGUCUAUAUGUGAGAGUCCCAAUGGCGCGAAUUUCCCUGUGGAGUUUGCAUCCCUUUCGGGAC